GAUAGAAACCUCACUCCAGAACGUCUUUCAUUUUUUUAAGAAAAAUGUUUUUUCAUCCAAAGAAGUUUUUCAUCCAAGUGGACAAAAAUGACCAACUUUUUUUUUUUUUGUGAUGAGCACGAAAUUUGUUUGGAGCAAACCACGCCCUUUGAAACUCAAGGACAGGUGUCCCUCUACCCUUCUCCACUUAAAUACCAAAGUUAGUUCACUUGUUGCAAGGCUCGACCUGUAAUCAAAGUCACAAGUCCCUUGACCUCAGUAAUGGGGGGCAAAGCAUUUGAAGAAGUUAUAGUGUCGAGCAGAAUGGUCCACUGCGCAAUGCAAACAAACAGCUAUCAUUCACCUAUUGUACAUACGAAGAUGUUGCCAAUGCCAGGCGCAAAAUUAAAGGCUUCCAUCGACAACUUAUCCCAAUGCAUCAUGCAUAACCAGAAAUUUCUCCAAAUUUUUUUAGUAGUUUGGCUUUAAUUUUUUGAAAAAUGUAGUUUGGCUUUAAUCAAAUUAGAAGUUCAGAAAGAUGUAUAUUCAGUUUAAUUGGUACAGCAGAACAUUAAUUUGACCCAGAAUCAGGAUUCUCAGGCAAAAGCAUCACCUUUCGGCAAUCAUUACAUAGCUUUCAGGAUCUUUAUCCCAUAAAUGAUAGCUAAUCAAAAAAUUUAAGUACUUCAAAGAAAGAGAUGUUCUCUAUCAACAUAAAACUGUAAGGACUGCUGUAAGUAUCUCCUAGAGAAAUAUCAUUAUCAGGGUUUUCAAGAAUUCUGGAAUUUCCAACAUCAACCCAAAUAUAACUUGGAAAGCAAAUUGAAUUUAAAGCUUAACAGCUUUGUACUUCCACGUAAAAGUUCACGGAAAAUUCUCAAAAAUGUUUGGUGCAGCAGCCUUUCCAGCUAAUAUGUAAUGCAUCCUUAAGUACCCUGAGACAACUGGCAACAAGUGCGCGCCUCCAUUUGGAUGUGUGAUGUCAGACGGGUAGCUGCCACCACGCUGUGAAGCGGUAACAGGGAUUGAGCGCAGCCAAGUACUCCGUUAGUCCUGA